rnacentral:lncRNA from 14 species
AUUCAAGAAAGGGAGCAGCAUAUUUACAAUCCUUGUUCUUCUGAAAGACCUUUAUUACUGGUAAAAAGGAGUAACUUAAGCUUGUCUGCUCUGGAGGAAGUGAUGUUUGCUUGUAACACUGCUGCUAUAUGAACUUAAUAUAGCUGGUUAUACACCCACCUGUUUACCGCUGUUGAGGAGCUGGGAGGAGUGUAGGAGCCAUGAGGACACUUACCCAGCUGUGCCUCAUGGACACGUACCACAACGCUGGAUAACCACAGCUGGUGAUAGGAACCCCCAGGCACAAAGCAUUUGGUAAGGCUGUUCUUGCAUACUGACAGGCCACCAUGGAGGCCACAAAAUCCCCUCUCCUAGAUCACCCUCUAGCAAUAGAAGGCUUCACAGGAGAAAAAUGCAGUUGCCUAUUACCAACUGUUUUGGCCAAGCACCCUCUGAGUGGUGGGGUUUUGUUUCUUUUGGGGCUUUAUUUUGAGGAUGUAUGUAAUUUCAUUCCAUCCUAUUACCUUUCUAGUUUGACUGCUAUGCAAGUCAAAAAAGCAGUUUUCCUUCAAUGCCAGAUGAGCUGUUGAGUUCUAAAGUCGUUGAGUUACUGUUGCUCAUGGAAAGUGAGAAAGGUUUGUUCAGGAUUGCAACAGAGGAAAAGCUGCUACUGAAACUACUGCUUCAUGACCCAAGGAGUGAGCUGGCUUCCUGCAGGAAGGAGGAGACCUCUCCCAUUAUCUGGGCACUGAGAGCCAGUCUGUUGGAGCCGUCUCCUUUUCCUGCUCCCCAAGGACAGACGGAGGCUAGACAGAGCAGCAAUGUGCAUGCUUCCCAGGCUUAUCCACCGCUAUCAGCUGGGAUCUGCUGUUUGCUCCAGACUCCACCUUCGCUUGGAAAGUGCUUGCAAUUCCAUGAGAACUUCCUCUUUCUCCACCCUAUUGCUGUGCUCCGCGUUUUCGUUCCUGCCAUCCCAAGGGCGGGCGGUCAGGGCGGGUGAACCACCACACACCGAGCGGAUCCAUCGUCCUCCCACUAACCGCCCCACUUGGGCCUGCCCAGGACACCAGGGCCCGCCUGCUCCGAGCCACCGCCGGUUGUGAGGUAAAACCUGCCCGGCUGGCACCGAGCCCCCCGCGGCCGCUGUAAAUCCGCGUUAUUCUGAUUUAGCUCGGAUUGAUUAGGAACAGGUCCUGGCUAACGUACCAUAAACACCUAUUAAACCGAAAUAAAUACGCCUACAGGGGACUGAAGUUAAACGGG